GUUUGGGUGAUGACUUAACAACAGUUUGUCGGAUACCCCUUCACUCGUCUUAUGAGUGAGAACAGCAGUCUGACAAAC
rnacentral:snoRNA from 1 species